GGGCCGUUAGCUCAGCUGGUAGAGCGCUUCCAUGGCAUGGAAGAGGCCACCGGUUCAAGUCCGGUACGGUCCA
rnacentral:tRNA from 1 species